ACAGUUCUCGCUCCCCUAUGAAGCUGAAAUUUGGCAUGGAGCUCAAGUGUGUGUGUGAAGGUGUGAGUUUGUGUUCAGACUGAUUGGCA